GGAUGUGAGGGCAAUCUGGUUGUGACAUCUGUCACCCCAUUGAUCGCCAGGGUUAAUUCGGCUGAUCUGGCUGGCUAGGCGGGUGUCCCCUUCCUCCCUCACCGCUCCAUGUGCAUCCUUCCCGAAGCUAUGUGCUUGGUUGAAGAGUACAACAUUCCUUGAUAGAGGAGAGGACCGUUCUUUGGUCAAGGAUGUACGAGUAGCUGCACUCCUCUGCUAGAACCUCCAAACAAGCUCUCAAGACUAUAAAGAUAAGGAGCAUAUGGGACACUAUUAAGGGUCCAAAUAUCCAUCUGAAGAAAAUCGAGAUAUUG
rnacentral:snRNA from 1 species